UACGAAGGGGGCUAGCGUUGUUCGGAUUUACUGGGCGUAAAGCGCACGUAGGCGGAUCUUUAAGUCAGAGGUGAAAUCCCAAGGCUCAACCUUGGAACUGCCUUUGAUACUGGGGAUCUCGAGUCCGGGAGAGGUGAGUGGAACUGCGAGUGUAGAGGUGAAAUUCGUAGAUAUUCGCAAGAACACCAGUGGCGAAGGCGGCUCACUGGCCCGGUACUGACGCUGAGGUGCGAAAGCGUGGGGGAGCAAAACAGG
rnacentral:rRNA from 1 species